ACUCCUACCGGAGGCAGCAGUGGGGAAUAUUGCACAAUGGGCGCAAGCCUGAUGCAGCGACUCCGCGUGAGGGAUGACUGCCUUCGGGUUGUAAACCUCUUUCAAUAGGGACGAAGCUCUUGUGACGGUACCUAUAUAACAAUGACCGGUCAACUACGUGCCACUCAGCCGCGGUAAU
rnacentral:rRNA from 1 species